UAGGGAAUCUUCCGCAAUGGGCGAAAGCCUGACGGAGCAACGCCGCGUGAGUGAUGAAGGUCUUCGGAUCGUAAAACUCUGUUAUUAGGGAAGAACAAAUGUGUAAGUAACUAUGCACGUCUUGACGGUACCUAAUCAGAAAGCCACGGCUAACUACGUGCCAGCAGCCGCGGUAAUACGUAGGUGGCAAGCGUUAUCCGGAAUUAUUGGGCGUAAAGCGCGCGUAGGCGGUUUUUUAAGUCUGAUGUGACAGCCCACGGCUCAACCGUGGAGGGUCAUUGGAAACUGGAAAACUUGAGUGCAGAAGAGGAAAGUGGAAUUCCAUGUGUAGCGGUGAAAUGCGCAGAGAUAUGGAGGAACACCAGUGGCGAAGGCGACUUUCUGGUCUGUAACUGACGCUGAUGUGCGAAAGCGUGGGGAUCAAACAGG
rnacentral:rRNA from 1 species